rnacentral:rRNA from 1 species
CCUACGGGAGGCAGCAGUGAGGAAUAUUGGUCAAUGGACGAGAGUCUGAACCAGCCAAGUAGCGUGAAGGAUGACUGCCCUAUGGGUUGUAAACUUCUUUUAUAUGGGAAUAAAACGUUCCACGUGUGGGAUUUUGUAUGUACCAUAUGAAUAAGGAUCGACUAACUCCGUGCCAGCAGCCGCGGUAAUACGGAGGAUCCGAGCGUUAUCCGGAUUUAUUGGGUUUAAAGGGAGCGUAGGUGGAUUGUUAAGUCAGUUGUGAAAGUUUGCGGCUCAACCGUAAAAUUGCAGUUGAAACUGGCAGUCUUGAGUACAGUAGAGGUGGGCGGAAUUCGUGGUGUAGCGGUGAAAUGCUUAGAUAUCACGAAGAACUCCGAUUGCGAAGGCAGUUCACUGGACUGCAACUGACACUGAGGCUCGAAAGUGUGGGUAUCAAACAGGAUUAGAUACCCCGGUAGUC